UCCCUAAAGUCCAGUGGUUAGGACUCGGCACUUUCACUGUGGGGGCCCAGGUUCAAUCCCUGGCUGGGGAA
rfam:Ovis aries breed Texel chromosome 11, whole genome shotgun sequence.